rnacentral:lncRNA from 1 species
CUUCCUGUGGCAGUGUGCAGUUGUUAUCAAAGCAUAACCUGACCUAAUUCGGCUGACACAACUUCUGUUUUGAUUCCUAUUCUUCCCCAUCUAGAGACAGCUACCGUCAUGAAGUUGUUGGCCAUCUUUCCAUGCCAUUGUGUGGAAAAUGCACCUGCACUCUCUAGACAUUUCUUAAAUGAACUCUUGUUGCUGAAACCCUACUCCAUGCCAGCCUGAUGCUUGGUGCCUGGGAAGAGAGAAGGCUGAGAGGAAAC